rnacentral:tRNA from 1 species
GCUGUGGCUCAGUGGUAGAGUGCUUGCCUCCCAUGUGAGAUACUGGGUUCUAUUCUCAGCACUGCA